AAAUUGAAGAGUUUGAUCAUGGCUCAGAUUGAACGCUGGCGGCAGGCUUAACACAUGCAAGUCGAGCGGUAGCACAGAGAGCUUGCUCUCGGGUGACGAGCGGCGGACGGGUGAGUAAUGUCUGGGAAACUGCCUGAUGGAGGGGGAUAACUACUGGAAACGGUAGCUAAUACCGCAUAACGUCGCAAGACCAAAGUGGGGGACCUUCGGGCCUCAUG
rnacentral:rRNA from 1 species